GGUAGUCCACGCCGUAAACGAUGUCGACUUGGAGGUUGUGCCCUUGAGGCGUGGCUUCCGGAGCUAACGCGUUAAGUCGACCGCCUGGGGAGUACGGCCGCAAGGUUAAAACUCAAAUGAAUUGACGGGGGCCCGCACAAGCGGUGGAGCAUGUGGUUUAAUUCGAUGCAACGCGAAGAACCUUACCUGGUCUUGACAUCCACGGAAGUUUUCAGAGAUGAGAAUGUGCCUUCGGGAACCGUGAGACAGGUGCUGCAUGGCUGUCGUCAGCUCGUGUUGUGAAAUGUUGGGUUAAGUCCCGCAACGAGCGCAACCCUUAUCCUUUGUUGCCAGCGGUCCGGCCGGGAACUCAAAGGAGACUGCCAGUGAUAAACUGGAGGAAGGUGGGGAUGACGUCAAGUCAUCAUGGCCCUUACGACCAGGGCUACACACGUGCUACAAUGGCGCAUACAAAGAGAAGCGACCUCGCGAGAGCAAGCGGACCUCAUAAAGUGCGUCGUAGUCCGGAUUGGAGUCUGCAACUCGACUCCAUGGAGUCGGAAUCGCUAGUAAUCGUGGAUCAGAAUGCCACGGUGAAUACGUUCCCGGGCCUUGUACACACCGCCCGUCACACCAUGGGAGUGGGUUGCAAAAGAAGUAGGUAGCUUAACCUUCGGGAGGGCGCUUACCACUUUGUGAUUCAUGACUGGGGCGAAGUCGUAACAAGGUAACCGUAGGGGAACCCUGC
rnacentral:rRNA from 1 species